rnacentral:rRNA from 1 species
UACGAAGGGGGCUAGCGUUGUUCGGAUUUACUGGGCGUAAAGCGCACGUAGGCGGACUAUUAAGUCAGGGGUGAAAUCCCGGGGCUCAACCCCGGAACUGCCUUUGAUACUGGUAGUCUUGAGUUCGAGAGAGGUGAGUGGAAUUCCGAGUGUAGAGGUGAAAUUCGUAGAUAUUCGGAGGAACACCAGUGGCGAAGGCGGCUCACUGGCUCGAUACUGACGCUGAGGUGCGAAAGCUAGGGGAGCAAACGGG